rnacentral:rRNA from 1 species
AUACGGAGGGAGCAAGCGUUAUUCGGAAUCACUGGGCGUAAAGGGUGCGUAGGCGGUUUGAUAAGUCUGAUGUGAAAUCCUAUGGCUCAACCAUAGAACUGCAUUGGAAACUGUCAGACUAGAAUACUGAAGGGGCAGAUGGAAUUAGUGGUGUAGGGGUAAAAUCCGUAGAUAUCACUAGGAAUACCGAAAGCGAAAGCGAUCUGCUGGGAAGUUAUUGACGCUGAGGCACGAAAGCGUGGGGAGCAAACGGGAUUAGAUACCCUAGUAGUCC